AGCGAAAUUCCUUGUCGGGCAAGUUCCGACCUGCACGAAUGGCAUAACGAUGGCCACACUGUCUCCUCCUGAGACUCAGUGAAGUUGAAGUGUUUGUGAUGAUGCAAUCUCCCCGCGGCUAGACGGAAAGACCCCAUGAACCUUUACUGUAGCUUUGCAUUGGACUUUGAACCGAUCUGUGUAGGAUAGGCGGGAGCCUGUGAAACCACAACGCCAGUUGUGGCGGAGGCGUCCUUGAAAUACCGCCCUGAUUUGUUUGAGGUUCUAACCUGGGACAGUUAUCCUGUCCGGGGACCGUGCAUGGUAGGCAGUUUGACUGGGGCGGUCUCCUCCUAAAGGGUAACGGAGGAGUGCGAAGGUACGCUAGGUACGGUCGGAAAUCGUGCUGAUAGUGCAAUGGCAAAAGCGUGCUUGACUGCGAGACCCACAAGUCGAGCAGAUACGAAAGUAGGUCAUAGUGAUCCGGUGGCUCUGUAUGGAAGGGCCAUCGCUCAACGGAUAAAAGGUACUCUGGGGAUAACAGGCUGAUACCGCCCAAGAGUUCAUAUCGACGGCGGUGUUUGGCACCUCGAUGUCGGCUCAUCUCAUCCUGGGGCUGUAGCCGGUCCCAAGGGUAUGGCUGUUCGCCAUUUAAAGAGGUACGUGAGCUGGGUUUAAAACGUCGUGAGACAGUUUUGUCCCUAUCUGCCGUGGGCGCUGGAAGAUUGACGGGGGCUGCUCCUAGUACGAGAGGACCGGAGUGGACUCACCUCUGGUGUACCGGUUGUCACGCCAGUGGCAUCGCCGGGUAGCUAUGUGGGGAAGAGAUAACCGCUGAAAGCAUCUAAGCGGGAAACUUGCCUGAAGAUAAGUCUUCCUGGAGGCUAGACCUCCCUAAAGAGUCGUUCGAGACCAGGACGUUGAUAGGAUGGGUGUGUAAGUGCUGUGAGGCACUCAGCUAACCAUUACUAAUUGCUCGUGAAGCUUGAUCCU
rnacentral:rRNA from 2 species